rnacentral:lncRNA from 1 species
UCCAUAGUGUUUGUACCAGCAAAAUUGCUGAUUUUUCUUUCUCUUGUAGAUGUUCCCAUUUGCUGAAUAGGAACGGUUUCCAUUUCGUUGGAUCCUUAAUCAGUCUCCAACUUUAGUAGAAGUCACAGAGGUUUUUAUACGUGCUGUCUGGACAGCCGGACAGGUUUGUGUAAAAAUUGUUGUAAUUUGGCAGGGUUCUUCUAUGAUCUCAACCAUCGUUAGUCUAAGUGUAGAUAUUAUCUUUGAUUUGACCGCCUCCUCCAUAUGUUUGAAUGAAGAUUUUUCUUUCAAGUUUAAGUUUAUCAAUUCCUUCCUGGAGCGUGUCAGUGCCCCCUUUCUCUCGUAUACCAGAAGCUCCUCUACUUUUAAGGAUGAGCUUUUUCUCUGCAUUUUUGAAUGAAGAUCCCCCUCUCUUGAGGACUCAUUAAGUUCAGGGUAUCCCAUGGAGACAAAAGUUCACUUUUCAUCUUUAGGCCAUAGUCACGAAUGAUCUCGUGUACAUUCUGGCAGUCCUCGUUUUUCUGUUAAAAGGUUUUUUGGGGGGAAAGUCAUUGCAUGUGAGACCUACAUUUUGUAAGUUAUAAUCUGUUAUUAUUUGUUCCAGAUCUGAAGCACUAUUUUUAUUGUAUGAACCAUUAUAACCCUGGGUAAAUCUUUUGACUUAAUUUUCGGGUUACAUUAAAGUCCUCCGCUAAUAAUAAAUCCUUUCCGUCCAAAGGCCCAACUCCUCCGACUAGUUUUGAGAAUCAUAGCUUAGGCCAUAAACUGCAAACAAUGUCGUUUGGUUUUCAAGGAAAUCAAAGUCGACGACAACGUAAUUACCUCCCGAUCUGGCUUUCCACCUGUGGAGGCAUUGAGGCCUCAAUCACAGUAUGGGCUUUAAUUUGAGUAUUUUGGGCACCUAGGGGAUCGUUUUUUUAUCAGGCAAUAGUAUUCCUUAUUCAUGCGGCGUUCCGUCAAUGGUAUUUCCUUUAUUUUCCUUUUUCAGAGGCAGGAGACCUCUGUCUUUUAUAUGAUAUAUCUUCAUUUCUAGGUAACAUUGGUAAUUUCUUUGGCACGCACCCGUCAGGGUCUUUACAGUUAUGGAUGUUAAGAAGAGGACCAUCCUGUAAAUGUUCUACACUCGACUCAUCGCAACAGACUUGCUUAGUUUUUCGUGCCACCCGAGAUUAUUGAACUCUUUAACAAACUCAACUCCGGACGUUACAAGUAUCAAAUCAGAUUCUUCCCUGUCCGUUUGGAUUUUAUCGGUCAUGGAAAUAUUCGAAGAAGGCAGUUCCGGAAGA